rnacentral:lncRNA from 1 species
GCACUUCUUGAAUCAGUAACCCUUGUUGGUGUCAGCUUCCUUCAGGUCUUCCUCCUUCAACGCCUUUUCGAAAAGAGGGUUCAGAAGGUUAGAGUUUAGCCUGCCCUGCUGGAGCUAGUAUUCAGACACGUCGGAACUUCACACCUCUUUUCAGCAGAAAAAUGAAUCAAGUUCCACGUAGUUCGCAGUUAAUCAGUUAAAAAUCCGCAUUCAAAAACCAAAUAAUCUUUUUUCCAGCUUGUGUUUGUGAAACAGUGAGAUUUAGUUCUUGGUUUCAAGAUUUUCUAGUUCCAUAUACAAGUCAUGCAAGUUGUUGAAUGCGUUAAUUUAACAGAGGCAAAUUCAGGAUUUAUACACUACAGUUUCAACCUCUAAAGUUCUUUUCAUUAAAUUCAUUGUAUUUUAAAAUUAUGAGUUUACACAUACUACUAUUUCAUUGCGAUUUUGAUGAAUUUCUACACAUAAAUUUAUGCUCGUGGAGAAAGUCCGCUGCAAAGCUGCAUCUGCCUACGGUGUCAAGCUUUUCCAAUGACUUCCAAUUUUGAGUGUGCAUACAGCUUGGACGUCUGUGUUGCUUCGGAUAAUAUUAAUCAAGAAACAUCAACGCAUAACAAGUAAAAGUAAUGACAACAAAAACCACCCUCCCUAGAGGCGCCUUGGCAAGAAAAUCGGAAGGUAGCGACCAAUAGUAGCAAUAAUAAACUCAGAGAUUAGGAAAAUUAAGCACAGAUAACACUAUGUUUUGAUAACAAAAGUCUGUAAUUUCAGUUAUUUUAUAAAUGACAUAGUUUUAUUCCACUAGGCAACAUCAUAGCUUGACUACAGCUCUAAUAUUUAGGAACACUUCUAUAGAAUUAUGGUCUCAAAAAUGUUAUACUUCCCAUUGCAGUUUCAUCAAUCAGCAGCACCGGAUCGCAUACAGCAGAACCAUUUCUUCUGAAAAAAGCAAAAUAUCCACAAGGUUAUUGUCUGGAACGUAUGAAAUCUAUUGCAAACAUACUCUUGAUAAACACAUGGCAAGAUAGUGUUAUAACUUUAAACAGUACAAGUAAUGCAUAGCCAAUCUUGCUCACCCUCGGUAAUAUUCUGUCAUGUGACUAUGGAAAGCGAGCUUCUAUCUCAUUAACGGAUAGACAGACACAAUCAAUUCUGGGAGAAUUUGGAGGAUGCACAAUUGAAAGGAGAAAAUGUUUCUGCGUGGAGUUCAUUCGGUUCACUUACAAGGAGCAUAGCUUCCUUCGCACUCGUGAGAGACUCCUUGAGUGCUUUAUAAAUUGAGAACUUGGUUGGUGUCCAUGUUAGCUAGUUUAUAGAAUGGCAUUAGAUAGAGAUGGUACAUGCAUACACUUGUUGUAUGUUCAGGUUAUACGAAAAGGUCCAAAAUAGAAGGCAAAAUGCAAAAAGUACAAAGCCCAAACUGUAAUGCUCCUGGACUCACAUAUACGAAAACAUCAAAUUGUAUCAACUAUAUUCCAACAUGUCUUUAAAGGAAACAGACCUUGCUCCGAACUCGUAAAACAUUUAUCAAGACAACAAUGAACUUCUUCAACCAACGUGGGACAUUCUAACAUACCAUGCAUUCCAAAGGUUAGAAAUCUGGAGUGCGGAUAAUGUAACAUGGGGGACCAACAUUGGGUUAGCCGAGAAUAGACGAGUUUGGAUGUGAUACCAUGUUAAGAAAAUGAAUCUUGAGCCUAACUCAAGUGUAAAAGGUUAGUCAUGCGGCGAAGAAUUGUCCAAGACAAAACAACAACCCACCCCCUCGACAAAUAUGAGAUAUUCUAAAUCAAACAAGGAUCUUGAGACACAAUCUUGAAAAACUUUUUUGCUUUAAAAUAAACAUUAAAAUGAUGAAUUGCCAACAUAAUUUAAAGGGAAACUAAUGUGAUAUUUCCAUGGUCAGCUACGGACCUAGAUCGAGAACACAAUUCCUUUAAAUAGUAACUAAGGCAUAGCAUAUUAGUGUAGAUACAACGUUCAUGAAGUGAUUUCCUCGAAGCAUCACAAGGAUGACAUCAACUGGUAGAGAUAGAGUCAGAGAUCUUACAGAUUGAGGCUUCCCAAGAGUUGCUGCACGCUUGCAGUUACCGCUUGGUGGCGAGUCUGCCUUGCCACCAGACCUUUUCUCGUUUCUAGCUUUGUUAAAGAUGACCGUGUACCCCUCAGCUGAAGCUGGGUCAUUGACAUCCCACUCACCAAAUUUUGGAAGUGGUCGACCUGCUUCCUACAGUGAUUAACAUAAGACUGUGAGAUCUUGCAAUUCUAUAUCAAAAUAGAAAAAAAAAGAUGAAAAUUGAAUCAGCCAGAUAGAAAAAAGCAGCAUAAUCGGUCCCUGAUUAUUGAUUUAUAUAGCAGAGGGCACAGGGUGCUAAAUUUCUGAUAAUCGACAUUUUUUGACGAGUGAACUCCUGAUCAUUGCUAGUCUUUCAAUGACACGAGAAGCGAAGAUCAAAAUGCUAGAAAUCCUUAUAAUGGAAUAAGAUAUGCUACUAAUAGUAGUUAAAAGAUUGUAUAAUUCAGCGUAUAUUCCAUUAGUAAUAGCCCAAUAGAUACACAUCUUAACUUCUUUAUAGUCGAGGAAGUCAAUUAGCAAACUGCACAUGAAAAGAGAAAGAGACAAAAUGAAAAGGCAAAAGAUUAUCUGAAGUUUUGCUUCUCUGUAUUGAUACUUUUGAUAAGUAGUUAUACUUCUUCACAAUAAAGUAGAUGUACAUUUGAAUUAGAAUGAUGAUUUCAACAAAAAGAAUUUACAUUGCCUGCACGUAUAUAAUCAUGGUACUGCAAACUAUUUUGGAUACUCUCAAUUUGGAUGAUAUAAUUAUAUAGGCCACCUGAAACUUGCUCAAAAUUGACAAAUUUACCUGUCUACUAUUCAAAAAGGCUCAAUUUUGCUCUCCAUAAUACUAUCGGAACAAAGAAGGUCACGCGUGAUACCUAACAACAACAACGACAUACCCAAUGUAAUCUCAUAAGUGGGUUCUGGGAGGAUAAGAUGUACGCAAAUCUUAACCUUACCUUUAUGGGGUAGAGAUAUUGUUUUCAAUAGAUCCUCAACUCAAAAGGGAAGUUGUUCAAAAAAAAAGGAAACAAAUAAUAGAAGAAUGUGUAAUGAUACAAAGGAAAAAGGAAGCAACCAAUAAUAGAAACACGAUUACUAAAUACUACUACAAACUAAUAACGGGAAGAGGACAUGGGGCAAGCCCCCUACUUCUCCCACCUAACGGACGGCCACACUCAGCGAACUAGUAACCUUCUACAAUAAGCUAAGGUCAUGGCCUUAGUAAGCUGAAAUUAUGUCAUGUCUUGUCUAAUCACUUCCCUUCAAUUUUCUUUUCAGCAUACCUCCCAUCUCUUUUAAUUCCUGCUAUAGCCAACCCCUCUCACACCUCCUAUAAUUGGCGCAUCUGCGCACCUCCUCUUCACAUGUCCGAACUAUCUCACUCUUGCUUUCCUCGUCUUGUUUGCCACAAAAGCCACUCCCACCUUACCCCAUAUAACUCCAUUGCUAAUCAAAUCUUUCCUAGUAUGUCCUCCAUCUGACCAUCUUCAUAUCCGCUACAUUCAUCUUCUGAACAAAUACAUCGUCAUAUCCUUAUCCUCAUCCUUACGUCACCUACGCGUUCAAAAACAUCCUCCAACGACCGUCCAACGCGGGAAAAAGAUGUGAAAAUUUUUCCACGUGAAUGCCACGUGAAAAACUAUCUCCUUCCCACAUUGAGGCCAAAUUAACCCCUCUACUAUUCCAUUGUAGCAAUAUACUAUCCCUUUACUAUUCAAUAAAAUCACCUUCACAAUGAGCUAUACUUUAUUCCAUAGAAAACAGGUUAAAAUUGAAGCCAUAAUAUUAAGAGUACAAUUUGUUUAGUGCAAGGUAGAACCCAUUAACGGCUCUCUCUCUAACGGCUCUCUCCCCCUCUCUCCCCCUCUCUCUCUCGCCCGACCAAAACCACAUGAUUCCAUUGUAGCAAUAUACUAUCCCUUUACUAUUCCAUAAAAUCACCUUCACAAUGAGCUAUACUUUAUUCCAUAGAAAACAUACAUAUAUAUAGAUCUUAAAAAAGACGUUAUAAAUUAAUAUAGAAAGAAUCAACAAUUCAUUGUUAAAGAACAAAACCACAUGCUCAAAAUCAAAAACUCAAAAAUACAAUUUCUUAAACGUACACAAAUACAUAUAUGUACAUUAUAUAUACAUACACACACUGAUAGAGAUAAUAACUAAUCAUACCGCCAUGUAUUUGGAAUUUGGAAAUAUAGAAAUUCUUUAUAUUAUGUUGUUGUGAAUGCUGGAUAUGAUUGAUUUGAAUAUGUAAACUUUUUUUAUCAAUUUCUCUUUCAUGAAACGAUAGAUUUUGAUGUGCAUGUUGCACAUUAUGCACACUAUGAUCAGCAUGCAAAGGAUGGUAAUUACCCUCUUGGACUCGGUCAUUUUCUUUCUUGUUCUCUUUUUCUGUACUAACAAGAACGAAUAUUUUCUACCAAUUUUGUCUAAAUGCCUACAGAGCACUUUGAUCCAUUGCUGGACCAGAUAUCAAAGUUAGAAACAGCUCUUUACAACAUACAGUUUGAACAACAUUGGCUCGAAGCCCAGACUGACCGCCAGGCAUUACGUAUGAUUUUCUUAUGACUUUCACUGCUUCACUUCUACUCUUUUUCCUUCUCAAUAUAUGGCCUUACCGAUAGUUGUUAGCUAAUGUUAAGAGUCCCACAUUAGUUGAAGGGUAUGGAUUGUUGUCUCUUUACGGACAAUUCUCCCUUCAUGAACUAGUCGGGUUUGAGUUAUGCCUAAGGUCUAUUGUCUUCUCACCGAAACAAAACCAAGUCAUCCCUAUUCUUAGUUUAUCAAAUAUUGAGCUCGCAGCCACAAAUAGACUAAAGCAAGUGUUGGAUUCAAAGCUAGUGUUAAAGAGUACAAAUUGACUAAUGUAUUCCUGACUCCUGAGUACUUAAGCUUGAUCCUUCCCUUACACUCGUUACAAACAUGGAUUCGGUAAGACAUCUCCUUUCUUUUGUAGUACAAAGGAAGAAUUGGUCCAAAAAUUGGACGGAAAUCAAGAUGGCUCCGAUGACUUACCGAGUUGCCCUCCGAACAACGUGAAAUAGUCACAAUUAUGUUGUUCACGAUCAAAAUAUCCAAUGUUGGAUGUGUGAGAGGAAGGGACAGCGGGUUUAGAAUCCUAUUUUAGUUGAGGAUGUACUCUUUAGAUAUCCAAAAGAAAAGAGUUAAAUAGGCAAAAACACACCUAAAGUAUCCCCAUUUUUCGAGUUUCAUACGUGAACUAUCAUGGUGUGCGAGUUUCCGACUUGAACUAUCACAAACUAUUUAUCAAAACAUACCUCAACUAUCAAUUAUUCAAUUUUCUUACCUGAACGAUGGUGAUAGUUCAGGUAGGAAAAGUGAACAAUUGGUAGCGGGUGUGUUUUGAUAUAUAGUUGGUGAUAUUUCACUCACAUACCCAAUAGUUCAGGUAUGAAACUCGAAAAAACAGAUACAUUAUGUGUAUUUUUGACCCCUCACUAAAAAGAAGUAUGAAAAGAAGAUGUUUUUAUUUAGUUUCAAAUAGAACUCAUAUUGGGAUUAACUCUUUCCUUGCUGUAAAUGCAGUGAAUGAAGGAAUGAGCCAAAGAGCAGUCACCAAGGCACUUCUUGAAUCAGUAACCCUUGUUGGUGUCAGCUUCCUUCAGGUCUUCCUCCUUCAACGCCUUUUCGAAAAGAGGGUUCAGAAGGUUAGAGUUUAGCCUGCCCUGCUGGAGCUAGUAUUCAGACACGUCGGAACUUCACACCUCUUUUCAGCAGAAAAAUGAAUCAAGUUCCACGUAGUUCGCAGUUAAUCAGUUAAAAAUCCGCAUUCAAAAACCAAAUAAUCUUUUUUCCAGCUUGUGUUUGUGAAACAGUGAGAUUUAGUUCUUGGUUUCAAGAUUUUCU